GACGGGGGUCUCCAGCUUGUUGUGGCUGUGUGGGUUCUUGGCAUGCUGAUUUGUGACUGUAGUAAAAAAAAAUCACAUUGCCAGGGAUUACCACACUACCACGGCAUUACCAGCAGUUCAUGAG
rnacentral:precursor_RNA from 8 species